rnacentral:rRNA from 1 species
GACGAACGCUGGCGGCGUGCUUAACACAUGCAAGUCGAACGGAAAGGCCCUGCUUUUGUGGGGUGCUCGAGUGGCGAACGGGUGAGUAACACGUGAGUAACCUGCCCUUGACUUUGGGAUAACUUCAGGAAACUGGGGCUAAUACCGGAUAGGAGCUCCUGCUGCAUGGUGGGGGUUGGAAAGUUUCGGCGGUUGGGGAUGGACUCGCGGCUUAUCAGCUUGUUGGUGGGGUAGUGGCUUACCAAGGCUUUGACGGGUAGCCGGCCUGAGAGGGUGACCGGCGACAUUGGGACUGAGAUACGGCCCAGACUCCUACGGGAGGCAGAAGUGGGGAAUAUUGCACAAUGGGCGGAAGCCUGAUGCAGCAACGCCGCGUGCGGGAUGACGGCCUUCGGGUUGUAAACCGCUUUCGCCUGUGACGAAGCGUGAGUGACGGUAAUGGGUAAAGAAGCACCGGCUAACUACGUG